rnacentral:tRNA from 1 species
CCCCAGCUCAACGGUAGAGCUCUCGGCUGAUAACCGAGCGGUACCUGGUUCGAUCCUAGGCGCGGGGC